AUUGCCCAAGACCAUAUAAGGAGGCCAAGAUACCCAUAACCCACCGAUGUGGGACACAACUCAACAUGAAUAUAAACACAUAUUCACUUGAUACUAAUAUAGCUCAUCUAUCUCUUGUGUUGGCUGGUUGCUUUUCUAUUAGCAUCCUUAGGUGCAGUAAGGAUUCAUAAGUAGUUGUUAACGGAGUAGAGUUACCAAAUUCUGAGGACCUCUUUGUCAAAACUUUGUUAACCUGUGGUAGUCCAACCUUGGUACUCUCUGUCGUGUUAUACAUGGUGACUAGCAUAUGAAUGUUAUAAGCUGUAAGAUCAUAAAUUGUGUUGGGCCUCACAUUUGAAGAGAACAUUUGUCAAGUUAGACUGUCAAGUUCAUUUCUCUAUUUAUAAAAAUGUUUUAUGGUCAACACCACUAACUUGCUUAUAUGGAUUAUGGGUUUGUUCGUUCGUCCUUGUAAAUGCUGCUUUUUGUUGAUGCCACCUAUAAAAGCUUAAAUAGUUUAAAGCCACUGGUACCUGUUUAAAAGCGAAUAGUUUAAGCCGCAGUUGUGUCUGUAUAAUAUAACUGUGGUAAAUUUGACACUAUAUGCACAUCACAGGGAAUUCCGGGAACAUGUGAAGGACCUAUCAUCCAUAUCAAAGGAUCUAUGCCGGAUUGUCAUUGUUGAUAACAACCCAUUCAGUUUUUUGUUACAGCCUUUAAAUGGGAUUCCGUGCAUUCCGUUUUCUCCUGGACAACCCGAUGACGAGCAGCUUUUGGAAGUAAUCCUUCCACUUCUCAAGCAUCUCUCUGAGCAGAAGGAUGUAAGGCCUAUGCUCCACGAAAGGUUUCAAAUGCCAGAAUGGUUUCAAAACCAUGGAAUUCCCGCUUAUCGAUUUAUGGAGUGACAAAUAUAUGAUGAUCUCGGCAAGUGAAAUUGUUGCUAUUCAGGGAGACACCUAUACUCUAAUAUGUUGUACAAGGUUAGUACUUCUUCGCCGGAAGAACGAAUUUUUGUAUAGCUUAUUUGUGCAGAGGAGUAACCAUCUAGAAGUCACAACUUCCUCAUGUCUCACUUGAUGUUCUCCACUCUUCAUUGCACCCAUAUGUAUUACUGUGGAAAUCUUUUAAAUUCUUGUGUAACUUUGUUUAUAGCAUCCGAUGUCGGAAGAUAUUUGAUCACCUAUAAUUAUACCUUCACCAAAAUUUAUGUAUAGAUUUGAUGUUUA